rnacentral:rRNA from 1 species
UGCGCAGGCGGGCUUGUAAGUCAGUGGUGAAAUCCUGCAGCUUAACUGUAGAACUGUCAUUGAUACUGGUUUUCUUGAAUACAGUUGAGGUAGGCGGAAUGUGUAAUGUAGCGGUGAAAUGCUUAGAUAUUACACAGAACACCGAUUGCGAAGGCAGCUUACUAAACUGUUAUUGACGCUGAGGUACGAAAGCGUGGGGAGCGAACAGGAUUAGAUACCCUGGUAGUCC